GACGAACGCUGGCGGCGUGCUUAACACAUGCAAGUCGAGCGAUGAAGCACCUUCGGGUGUGAAUUAGCGGCGAACGGGUGAGGAACACGUGAGAAAUCUGCCUUCAACACUGGGAUAACUCCGGGAAACCGGGGCUAAUACCGGAUAUGAAACCUGCGGGCAUCCGCGGGUUUGGAAAGUUUUUCGGUUGAAGAUGAUCUCGCGGCCUAUCAGCUUGUUGGUGAGGUAAUGGCUCACCAAGGCGACGACGGGUAGCCGGCCUGAGAGGGCGACCGGCCACACUGGGACUGGGACACGGCCCAGACUCCUACGGGAGGCAGCAGUGGGGAAUAUUGGGCAAUGGAGGAAACUCUGACCCAGCGACGCCGCGUGCGGGAUGAAGGCCUUCGGGUUGUAAACCGCUUUCAGCAGGGAAGAAGCGAAAGUGACGGUACCUGCAGAAAAAGCACCGGCUAACUAUGUGCCAGCCGCCGCGGUAA
rnacentral:rRNA from 1 species